ACCACUCCCAGGUUUCGUCACUUCAUUCCCACCCCAGGAACAUCACUGUCCAUGAUGGCAGUCUGCCCGGCAAUCCGGCCUGUUCCCAAGACUGGCGUUUCACUCCUCGAUUGCACCUGUAACCAAACUUGGUGAUCUCCUGCAACUGCUCUACCUCUGGUUUCUCCUAACAUACUACCCACAGCAACCUCAAACAAUGAAGUUUUGUACCAUUAUAGAGUCCUCUUAUUGGAAUGGAUUAGAGGGGAAGGAAGAAACUUAAUGAUUUUGUUGUAAGGAUUACAAAUACACCUACAUGAUAAAUUGGGGGCCGGGGAGGAUGGUCCUAAUGUGGUAACUUGGGUCAAACUUGCCAGUGAGUCAGACAUGUAUUUGAGAAGUGCUGCAUCUCAGACAGCUUAGAUGCAAGUGAAGGAGAUACACUUUGAGAAAUGGACUGUAGAUACCAUGAAGACGUUGAUGUCCAAGAUGCAUG
rnacentral:lncRNA from 1 species